AGGUCGUGUUGGGGGAAAUUUCAGAGCAUUCCUUCUAUCUUUCCCAUGCCUCAUACAAAGAUUCUCCAUAGUUUUGUUGAAAGUUGGUCAUGUUCUUAUUAAACCU